rnacentral:lncRNA from 10 species
UUUUAGAUGAAAAGGAAUUCAUAAAUUGAUUCUCUCCUCUUGUGAUUGCAGUUACCACUGGGAUAACUACUGGCACAACCAUUGUAUCUGGGAGUUCCAACACAAGUGAGUCAUAAAAGAGUUGAAGAAACCUGCCUAUGUGAACUUCUGGGGACCUGAUGGCUCCCACAGGGAUAUUACAUAAAGUAAGACUGUUACUCGUUUUUCCAAAUGUCUGCAUUCUAUACCACUUUCUCCUAUUUCUUCUCAGAGGCUACGACUUCUACAGGCAUUGGAGUUGCCACUGGAGUUGGAAUGGCAACUGGGAUCACCAACAUAAUUUCAGGGAGAAGCCAACCUACUGAAAGUAAAACAGGCUACACUGUGACAGGCUCUGGGACAACAGCCUUACCUGGAGGUUUCAGAACAGGUAAGUCAAGUAGUGAAAGGAAUUCUCCUUUAAAUGGCUCUCAGUUAGCAGUGUAAUUGGAUUGUUUGUAGCUCAAUGGAUGGAUACCCCAUUCUUAAUGAUGUUCUUAUUUCACAUUGCGUGCCUGUAUCAAAACAUCUCAUGUACCCCAUAAGUAUAUAUAUCUACUAUGUAUGCACAAAAAUUAAAAACAUUAAUAAAACUAGUAAAUUAUCUCAUAACAACAUCAUCUAUUGCCAUAUCAUUUUCAUGUUGACAAACUCUCCAUCUUUUCCACUUUUCUUAAGUUGCUCUUACAGAGGCCACAACUUUUAAAGGUUAUGUUGGAACCACUGAAGCAGAAAUUUCAUCAGGUGAGUUUUUUCACAUUUUAGAUUCUCCACGAUUUUUCCAUUUGAGUUUGCUA